rnacentral:lncRNA from 1 species
GUUUCAUUGUCCCCUAUGGGGCUGUGGGGGUCUCCAGUGGCCCCUAUAGGGGUUUCUGUAGUUCCCUAUGGGGCUGUGGGGGUCUCCGUGGUUCCCUAUGGGGCUGUGGGGGUCUCAUUGUCCCCUAUGGGGCUGUGGGGGUCUUCAUGGUCCCCUAUGGGGGUCUCAUUGUCCCCUAUGGAGGCCUCGUUGUCCCCUAUGGGGCUGUGGGGGUCUUCAUGGUCCCCUAUGGGGGUCUCAUUGUCCCCUAUGGAGGCCUCGUUGUCCCCUAUGGGGUUGUAGGGGUCCCCACUGGCCCCUAUAGGGGUCUCUGUGGUCCCCUAUGGGGCUGUGGGGGUCCCCACUGUCCUCUAUGGGGGUCUCAUUGUCCCCUAUGGGGGUCCCCAUUGUCCCCUCUGGGGCUGUGGGGGUCUCCAUGGUUCCCUAUGGGGGUCUCUGUUGUCCCCUAUGGGGCUGUGGGGGUCUCCAUGGUUCCCUAUAGGGGUCUCUGUUGUCCCCACUGUCCCCUAUGGGAGUCUCAUUGUCCCCUAUGGGGGUCCCCAUUGUCCCCUAUGGGGCUGUGGGGGUCCUCAUUGUCCCCAGUGGGGGUCUCGUUGUUCCCUAUGGGGGUCUCCGUGGUUCCCUAUGGGGCUGUGGGGGUCUUCGUGGUCCCCUAUGGGAGUCUCAUUGUCCCCUAUGGAGGCCUCGUUGUCCCCUAUGGGGCUGUGGGGGUCUCAUUGUCCCCUAUGGGGGCCUCGUUUUCCCCUAUGGGGGUCUCAUUGUCCCCUCUGGGGGCCUUGUUGUCCACUAUGGGGCUGUGGGGGUCUCCAUGGUUCCCUAUGGGGGUCUCUGUUGUCCGCUAUGGGGCUGUGGAGGUCUCCGUGGUCCCCUAUGGGGCUGUGGGGGUCUUCAU